GGGCCUGAGAAAUGGCCACUACGUCUAAGGAUGGCAGCAGGCGCGCAAAUUACCCACUUCUCAACGCGAGGAGGUAGUGACGAGAAAUAACGAGACCGUUCUCACAAGAGGCCCGGUCAUCGGAAUGGGUACAAUCUAAACCCUUUAACGAGUAUCUAUGAGAGGGCAAGUCUGGUGCCAGCAGCCGCGGUAAUUCCAGCUCUCAAAAUGCAUAGAAUUAUUGCUGCGGUUAAAAAGCUCGUAGUUGGAUCUGUGCUGGUCGCCCGGUCCACUCACUGAGUGCGCACUGGUGCGGCCGGCUUUCUGUCCGGUUCCCACCGGCGUUGACCUUCACCGGCCGGCGUCGGAGGCCGGACAAGUUUACUUUGAACAAAUCAGAGUGCUUCACACAGGCGUUUCGCUUGAAUGUUCGUGCAUGGAAUAAUAGAAGAGGAUUUCGGUCCGAUUUUAUUGGUUUUGCUGACCGAGAUAAUGGUUAACAGAGACAAACGGGGCCAUUCGUAUUGCUGCGUGAGAGGUGAAAUUCUUGGACCGUAGCAAGACGGACUACAGCGAAAGCAUUUGGCAAGAAUGUCUUCAUUAAUCAAGAACGAAAGUCAGAGGUUCGAAGGCGAUCAGAUACCGCCCUAGUUCUGACCGUAAACUAUGCCAACUAGCGAUCCGCCGGCGGAUUCAUUCGCCCUGGUGGGGAGCUUCCCGGAAACGAAAGUCUUCCGGUUCCGGGGGAAGUAUGGUUGCAAAGCUGAAACUUAAAGGAAUUGACGGAAGGGCACCACCAGGAGUGGAGCCUGCGGCUUAAUUUGACUCAACACGGGGAAACUCACCCGGCCCGGACACCGUAAGGAUUGACAGAUUGAUAGCUUUUUCAUGAUUCGGUGGAUGGUGGUGCAUGGCCGUUCUUAGUUCGUGGAGCGAUUUGUCUGGUUUAUUCCGAUAACGAGCGAGACUCUGGCCUACUAAAUAGUUGACGCAUUGCUACUGUGCGCACAACUUCUUAGAGGGAUUUUCGGUGUUCAGCCGCACGAAAUUGAGCAAUAACAGGUCUGUGAUGCCCUUAGAUGUCCGGGGCUGCACGCGCGCUACACUGGCAAAAUCAGCGUGCUUGUCCUUCCCCGAAAGGGGUUGGUAAACCCGUGAAAAUUUGCCGUGAUUGGGAUCGGACAUUGCAAUUAUUGUCCGUGAACGAGGAAUUCCUUGUAGGGGCGAGUCAUCAACUCGCUCCGAAUACGUCCCUGCCCUUUGUACACACCGCCCGUCGCUGCCCGGGACUGACCAUUUCGAGAAACUCGGGGAUUGU
rnacentral:rRNA from 1 species